GCCCAGGUGGCGGAAUCGGUAGACGCGUUGGUCUCAAACACCAAUGGGGUUACACCCGUGCCGGUUCGACUCCGGCCCUGGGUA
rnacentral:tRNA from 1 species